AACGAACGUUAGCGGCGCGCCUAACACAUGCAAGUCGAGCGAGAAAGGGCUUCGGCCCCGGUAAAGCGGCGCACGGGUGAGUAACACGUGGAUAACCUACCCCUUGGUGGUGGAUAACCUUCCGAAAGGAGGGCUAAUACAGCGUAAGACCACGACUUCGAAAGAGGUUGGGGUAAAAGUGGGCCUCUGUACACAAGCUCACGCCAGGGGAUGGGGUCCCGCGGCCCAUCAGCUAGUUGGUAGGGUAACGCCUACCAAGGCGAAGACGGGUAGCUGGUCUGAGAGGAUGAUCAGCCACACUGGAACUGAGACACGGUCCAGACUCCUACGGGAGGCAGCAGUGGGGAAUCUUGCGCAAUGGACGAAAGUCUGACGCAGCGACGCCGCGUGAGUGAUGAA
rnacentral:rRNA from 1 species